rnacentral:rRNA from 1 species
UACGUAGGGCGCGAGCGUUGUCCGGAAUUAUUGGGCGUAAAGAGCUCGUAGGCGGCCGGUUGCGUCUGCUGUGAAAUCCCGGGGCUUAACCCCGGGCGUGCAGUGGAUACGGGCCGGCUGGAGGCAGGCAGGGGAGAAUGGAAUUCCCGGUGUAGCGGUGAAAUUCGUAGAUAUUCGGAAGAACACCAGUGGCGAAGGCGGCUCACUGGCCCGGUUCUGACGCUGAGGUGCGAAAGCGUGGGGAGCAAACAGG